GGUGAACGCUGGCGGUAGGCCUAACACAUGCAAGUCGAACGGCCGCACCGUAAGAUUUCGCCUUUACGGGUAGCGCGUGGCGGACGAGUGAGGAGUACAUCGCCUUCUUCUUUUACGGGGGGGAUAACGUAGCAACACAUCCGCUACUACCUCAUAUGACCUACGGCUGGAAGCAGGAGUUACUCAGAUCUUUCGAGUUUGAUCAAGACGAAGCCGCAUUAGCUUGUUGACUGGGUAAGGGCACACCAUGGCAACGAUGCGUAGCUGAUCUGAGUGGAUGAUCGGCCACACUGGAACUGAGACACGGUCCAGACUCCUACGGGAGGCAGCAGUAGGGAAUCUUCGGCAAUGGGCGCAAGCCUGAUCCAGCCACACCGCGUGAGUGAAGAAGGUCUUCGGGUUGUAAAGCCCUUUUAUUAGGAAAGAAAAGCUGUGGGUUAAUCUGCCGCUGUCCUGACGGUACCCAAAGAAUAAGCACCGGCUAACUUCGUG
rnacentral:rRNA from 1 species